rnacentral:rRNA from 1 species
GACAGAGGGUGCAAACGUUGUUCGGAAUUACUGGGCGUAAAGCGUGUGUAGGCGGUCUCAUAAGUCGGAUGUGAAAGCCCCGGCUCAACCCGGGAAGUGCAUUCGAAACUGCGAGGCUAGAGUAUCGGAGAGGUUGGUGGAAUUCUCGGUGUAGAGGUGAAAUUCGUAGAUAUCGAGAGGAACACCGGUGGCGAAGGCGGCCAACUGGACGAAUACUGACGCUGAGACGCGAAAGCGUGGGGAGCGAACAGG